GUCCACGCCCUAAACGAUGCAUAUUUGGUGUGGGUCAUUCAGUUGAUCCGUGCCGGAGCUAACGCGUUAAAUAUGCCGCCUGGGGAGUACAGUCGCAAGGCUGAAACUCAAAGGAAUUGACGGGGGCCCGCACAAGCGGUGGAGCAUGUGGUUCAAUUCGACGCAACGCGAAGAACCUUACCUGGGGCUCGAACGGCUUCUCAACGCCGGUUAGAAAUACCGGUAUCCCGCAAGGGAGUGGAGUCGAGGUGCUGCAUGGCUGUCGU
rnacentral:rRNA from 1 species